rnacentral:misc_RNA from 1 species
GAAACAAGAUAGAUGCCCUUGAAAAGCACCAUCAAAGAGAAGUCAGCCUAGGAUGAAGGAUGAUGAUAAAGGUGAUGACAAGUUACAAGUAACUCUACAAGGUAAAUGCAUAUAUCCGCCUAUCGAUGCAACUCAAUGAUGGCCAGGACAAGCAUCAUCAAAGAGAAAUCAGCCAAGGAUGAAAUAUGAUAACGGUGAUGACAAGUAACCAAGACAUAAAUCUUAAGACAAAUCUGCCUAAUGAUGCAACUAUGACCUUAUACAAUGCAAGAAAUCAAACCCACUCGAUACUAGUGUUCCAACACUCUUCACAUAACCCUAAGAUAAUGAUCCUAAUGUAAAGACUUCUACUACCUAAUACCCAUCAAGUCAGUAGUUUAGCCAUAUACAUGUCAACAACACACCACCGCCUGC